rnacentral:tRNA from 1 species
GGUAGCUCAGCUGGCAGAGCGGAUGACUGUUAAUCAUCUUGUCGGGGGUUCGAAUCCCUCCC